GCCAUGAAACCAGCCAUGGGCUUUAAAACCCAGUUAUAAUCGGAGACAUACAUGUCUGAAUGUGAGCUAUGUCUAAAUGAAAUACAUGUUUGCAUUAACACAUAAUACAUAACUACUACACUCCAGCAAGGGUUGUCUUAACAAUGGAGGUUACAGGGUUAUCAUAGAUGAUGUUUGAUUCCCUUGUGGAAUCAGUAAUCCAACAGCCCAACCACUGAUGUGAGACCACCGCUGCUUAAGUUCAUCGAGUUCCGCUGCCCGGAUGUGAGACCGCUCAUCGAGUUCUGCUGCCCCGAUGUGAGACCGCUGCUUAAGUUCAUCAAGUUCUGCUGCAGAUCAACCCCUGAUGUGAUCCCACUGCUUAGGUUCAUCGAGUUCUGCUGCAGAUCAAGCCCUUCUUUUCCCAUUUGUAGCACUUGUUGCGGCGAGAGUAUCUUUAUGCACCAUACAUUAUUUACAAACUCCUGCCAGGGAUCAUCGCCGACGAGAAGAACAUCGUCCUCCCGGUCGACGAAUACAAGCUGCCAGCCUGAU
rnacentral:misc_RNA from 1 species